GACGAACGCUGGCGGCGUGCUUAACACAUGCAAGUCGAACGAAGAGCGAUGGACGCUUGCUUCUAUCAAUCUUAGUGGCGACCGGGUGAGUAACGCGUAAUCAACCUGCCCUUCAGAGGGGGACAACAGUUGGAAACGACUGCUAAUACCGCAUACGAUCUAACCUCGGCAUCGAGGAUAGAUGAAAGGUGGCCUCUACAUGUAAGCUAUCACUGAAGGAGGGGAUUGCGUCUGAUUAGCUAGUUGGAGGGGUAACGGCCCACCAAGGCGAUGAUCAGUAGCCGGUCUGAGAGGAUGAACGGCCACAUUGGGACUGAGACACGGCCCAGACUCCUACGGGAGGCAGCAGUGGGGAAUCUUCCGCAAUGGACGAAAGUCUGACGGAGCAACGCCGCGUGAGUGAUGACGGCCUUCGGGUUGUAAAGCUCUGUUAAUCGGGACGAAAGGCCUUCUUGCGAAUAGUGAGAAGGAUUGACGGUACCGGAAUAGAAAGCCACGGCUAACUACGUG
rnacentral:rRNA from 1 species